UUACGCUGUUAUCCCUAAGGUAAUUUAGUUUUAUAAUCAAUAUAAAUGGGUCAAAUACAUAUAAAUAAAUAUAAAAUAAAUAAAAAGAGUUAAUUAAAUCUUUCCAUCACCCCAACAAAAUAAAUUUUUACAUUAGAAAUUAUCAUACAAAAAAAAUAAAAAUAUAUAAAACUCUAUAGGGUCUUCUCGUCCCAAAAAAACAUUUAGGCAUUUUAACCUAAAAUUUAAGUUCAAAAAAAAAAUAAAGACAGUUAACACCUCGUCAAACCAUUCAUUCCAGCCUACAAUUAAAAGACUAAUGAUUAUGCUACCUUUGCACGGUCAAAAUACCGCGGCCCUUCAAUAUUCAGUGGGCAGGCCAUACAUCAAAAUAUAUUCAAGAAGAGAUGUUUUUGAUAAACAGGCG
rnacentral:rRNA from 1 species